UAUUUUUAAUCUAAACAAACUAUUUUAGAAUAAUUUCAGAUUUAUUGAAAAGUUGCAAAAAAAAAUAGAGUUCUCACAGUUUCCCCUAUUGUUAACAUCCUGUUUUACUGUUGUAUGUAUUUUACAACUAAGAAAUCGACACUGGUAUGUUAUUCCUGACUAAAUUUCAUAGUUCAUUCAGACCUGGUUUGUUUUUCCUUAAUGUCUUUUUCCUGUUCCCAGGAUGCUAUUCAGGUGCCACAUUAUAUUUAGUAGUCAUAUCUCCUUAGCCUCCUCUGGUCGGUGACAGUUUCUUGAACUUUACCUGUUUUUGAUGACUUUGACAGUUUUGAGGCAUACUGAUCAGAUACAUUGUAGAAUAUUCCUUGGUUUGGGUUUAUCUGAUGUUUCCUCUCAUGGCUAGACUGGGGGUUGUUUAUUUUUAAACACCACCUCUGAGCUAAAUACCUAACACGUACCACCUAGCAUAGACCAGGCAUUUGAUUCAUGGUUAUUGAAUUGACUUGAAUUCAAGUGUUGCUUUGGCACCUCCUGUAUAAAUAGAACCCUGACUGAUGCUCUGGGAGAGAUGAAGUGUGGAACUCAAAUCCUGUAAAGAUCUUCCACAUAGCUGAAUGAUACAAGACAGCAUGCAACCGAGUAUUAAGUAAGGGGAACUGAGACAAUGACCUAGGACAGCUCAGGAGACAGACUAAUGAGUGUGAGUGGGUGCAGUCAGCCAGGUCUAUGUGAAAGAAGGGACUAGAAAAGUGGGGAGGAUUUAGAAAGGCUUUUUUUUUUUUUUUUUUUCCAGCUUUCAAGCACACCAAACUCUCUCUUGCCUUAGGGCCUGCUCAUAGGCUGAGCCCAAACUCUGGGAGGCACAUCCAACCCCUCUUUUCCCCUUGGCUGGCGUCUUCUCAUUGUUUACGUAUAGGGCUAAAUGUGCAUUCUACAGGGGACAUUAUGCAAAAUAGGCUCCCCUUGCCACUCUUUCCAGAGACUGCAUCUGUUUUCUUCACAGCUUUUCUCAAUGUUUAUAAUGGUUGAUUGUUUAUUUCUUUAUCAUCAGUCUCCCUCCCUGGAGUCUAAGCAUCUUGAAGGUAAGUAUUGGAUCUUUAUUUACUCUGACAGGAGACAUUACCCAGCAGCACAUGGCGGUACUCAAAUUACUUUGCUGAGUGAAUAAAGGGGUUGGAUGAGCCUGACAAGACAUGGGACAGUGACAAGAAGACAUAUGAGCAAUCGCUUGUAAGAGGCACUGGAAUGGAGCAAGAGUGAACUGGGUAGGCAGGUGGGAUGUUGCCAGGUCAUAAGACUGAUCACAGUGGUGUCAGGUGAUCCCAAGUGGGGUGGCACAAUUUGGGCAAAGGCCAGCAAUGUUCUAGGUGUGGGCUGCACAGAGGUAGAGGCUGCCCAGUGAUUUUCCACCUUGGGAAGGGCAACAAGGGCUUACAGGACAAAGAAUGAGGGAUAAGGAAUAACUAGGGCCCAGCGGAGGGCAGGGGCCAGAGGCAUGUCUGCAUAAAUUGAGAACGUGUCCCACAAAUGACACCAACACAAGAGCUCCUGAGAAGUUGGGGAGGUACCUCGUUUAAAUUCUCUGGUGUUGGCACAAACCCAAGGAAAAAAAAAAAGGGCACUCUGGAUAAAAUGGAAGAUGAAAGCUUGUGAUUUUGCGAUAGCAUUUCGUACCAGGAAAGGACAGCCAUCUUUGAAAGCAUGGGGAAAUCUGGAACAAUGCAGUAAUGUGCUUCUGGGCUCAGAGUGGAGAGGACCCCAGAGAGACCUUUAUUUUCCACCAUCUUUCCUACAUGGUCACAAAAGACAGAAUCAACGUAUAUACCGCCUACCUUGAAACGUAUGUGUUUUCCCCUCCAAAUUCAAUUUUAAAACACGGACCAAAAGAGCUGCGUUUCAUACAGAUUCUGACUGGAACAAGCCCAGUGGGAAAAGGGCUGGAAAACAUAUGGCAAAGAAACUCUGAGAAUCCAGAAUGUGAUUUAGAAACAAAAAACAUGGGACAUGUCGUCUUUGUGUACCCAUAUAAAUAAUUAUGAUGGUUGAACUCUGCUUAUUUUUCAUCCAACCAAAGUAACCGCUUGGAAAAGAACAAUAACAGUGACCUGUGCAUAUGGGAGUCCAGAGGGACAGUCUGUGACAGAGCUCAUUGGGUCCCCAGGAGGACCAAGAACAUGGUCCAAGUGAUUUUCCUCUGUCAAGGCCAGGGUAGGCAGAGGAAGGUUUAAAGAAUGAUUGCUCUUCUACAUUGGAAGGUCAGAUCAUGAGAUCAGGGAGCAAGUUUGUUAUUUUAAAAAUCUAGCCUUCAAACCUCCAGAAGGUAAGUGGAUGAGCUCUGUUCACUAACUUGGAACUCCAAAAUUCCUUCUCUCCUCUGUACCUCCUUAGAUCAGAACUGUAAGGAACCAUAUUAGCCUAUGUAUUAGCCUAUGUAAUCCCUUUAUUUGAGAAGGAAAAAACCUGAUGUCCAGAGGUUCCCUCAUCGAGACAGAGCCUGAAGUAGGAUGAGACCUUCUCACCCAGCUUCCCUUUACAACCCUGAGCAGCCCAUCUGAGAGCUGACCACACAAUCGGCUCCAAUUCUACAUUUUUAUAUUCAUUUUCCAUUUAUUUGGACAUAUGAACACUGUUCACCAUAUUUUUCCCCCUCAUAUUACUUUUGCAACAACCUUGAGGGGGCCAAGGAAAAAACAAAACAAAAGACCAAGCACAAUCACACUCAUUGUAAUGAAAUGCACACCAGGUAUCUGACCUAGACUCCCACUUCCCUGCCAAUCUCCAGCUCAUAUAAAUUCAUUUCCCUAACAGAAAAUAGGUGUCAACUUUGCAGUCAGAAAGUAAUUUCCCUGCAAAUAUUAUCAGAGAGGUUACUAGUGCUACUUGACAGUUUUAUUAUUACUUUUGUUUCAAGCUAAGGUGAGGAAAUCUACAUUUGCCAGGUAGCAUGAUGAAAAAAUAACGUAGACUUUUAAACUUUGUGUUAGGCAGAGGGAAAAGUGAGAAACAAAGAACAAAUGUGCUGGUUGCACACGCUGAAUAUGUCUAAGAAUGUGUCACAGGAUCCUGGCUUUCCUCCUUACUUCCACCCACAUCCUUUCUGAUCCCGAAACAUCAGAGUGGGUUGGAGGAAACCAUUCUCUGCAGCACCUGAGCAGCCAGCUCAGAGGUGGGCAGCUGAGUGACUCGGCGGGGACUGACUUGUAAACACUGCUUAUCAGCUCAUUCAUAAGAGACAGAACUAGCCACAGACUGAUGUUUUCAAGUUUGGACUUUACAGAACAGUAAAAUGUAAAAAGAAAAGAAAAAGAAAUUCUGACAUUGUGGAAGAUCAAUAUACUGUUGCCAAGUUUAAAUCUGAUCGAAUAAAAAUGUUAAAGAUACCACAAUUGCCAUCUUCAAUUAUCAUUAAUUCAUAAAAGAAAGUGACAUUUGAAUAUCCCCAAGAAGGAAGGACACUCUCUUAGAACGAAGAGCAAUACUUCUUAAACAAAGUCGGCAGCCUUCCAACGUACAGUCCUCAGUUUUGUGAAAAACUCCUCCACGACGUUGCGCUGGCCCUGGAAUCUGAGAACACCCAGCCCAGGAUAUGUCACGGUAGGCCCUGUAAGAUGACAGGACCAAUGUCAUCCAUCAUCCAAGUUGAUGCUGCUAGGAGAGAACCACAGAGCACUUUCAUGUAAAGGAAAGAGAAGAUGAGCACAGCCAGUUUGAAUUUUGAUGACUUUAAGUUACUCUCUAAUUUAAGUAUUUUAUAUCCGAGAAGCAUUUUAUGUGUGUGGAAGUAUUAUGUGACUUUUCUCAAACUUUGAAGCAUUUCCUCCACUUACAAGACAUAGAAAACCUUUCCCCAAAUUUUCCUAAACUUCCUUGGGCGCACAGCUUGAUCUCUGUACUCUUCCUCUCCAUCUCUGUAAAAUGAACACUUCAGGAAUUGGAUAAUACGACAUUGAACUUAAACAAUCUCUUCGUCAGAGAGUCCAGAGGUCUUUGAAACUCCAGACUCAUCUGACGAGAAGAGAGAGAUUUUGGCUUUGAUUCUAGAGCGAUGUUUCACAGAAAGUCAACUCUUGUUCCAGCAGGUUUGGAAGAUGAGAUGAAAGCAACCCUAUCUCACCACUUUUAGAAAGGAAAUGAGGUAUGGUGCUCAUAUUCCCUGGCUUUUACUUGGAUCAAGUGUGGGAGAAGGGAAGAAAGAAGUGGAAACUAAACCUGGAGAAAGAAGAAGAGAGGAAAACAGCUAUCCACUCCCUCCCUGAAAACACCUGGCAAUCUGCCUCUUUGAGUAAGCUGACUCACAGUGGACAGUAGUUCCUCCAUGGGCUUCGAAGUAUCCAAUGAUACCUACUAUCAAGUAGAAUGCAGUUUAAGAUUGCUGGAGAAGAAGGAUGCCUACCAUUGUUGUUGUUGGUGUUUUGUUGUUGUUUUUGUUUUUUUACUAUAGUAGUUUAUAGAGGAGGAAGAUUUUUCCUCUACCUGUCUUGGGUUCAUUGCUGGGGUCCUGCAAAUUAGUUUGACAAAGGACAGAUAAAGGAGAGAAAAGCAAGCAAGUUUGUUGAUUCAUGCAGUCCACACACAUGGAAUACUUAGUGAGGAGUAACUCAAAGAAGUGGUUAGAACUUGGGCUUCUAGGGCAUCUUAGCCAUGAAAGAUAAAUUUGAAGAGAAGUGACAAGACACAGGAAAAGGGUUUUAGACUUCCAAGGGUGGCAAACUGUAGGAAGAUAAAUAUAUGAGAGAAGCCAGUGGAAGAUAAGGAUUGUUUUAGUAAGGUUUGUUACAUAGAUUCCCCUGUUGCAGACUCUGGGCUGUUAAGAGUCUAGGAUUGUUUCUGGUGGUUAAGAAUCCUCCUGCCCUUUCUGAUAGAGAGGGGGAGGUUAGAGAGUUUGUCCUGUAUCUUUUUCUCCCCAGUUGUCUUCAGCUCAAAAUAAGCUUUAUGCCAGAUUGGCAUGUUCUAGGGUUUAGAACCUCUUCAAAGAUUAACUUUUCUUCUUUUCAUAAUAUUCUAAAAUAAUACAUAUACAUGGUAGAAAAAUUGGCAUUUUGAAAGAAGUUAAAAGAAGCAUGCAAAACAUCACUAAACCUUACCUUGUUAGUCAAAUGCAACCACAGUUCAGAAUGGUUCCAGUAUUCUUUCCUAGAAUUUCUUUAUCUUCAUGUAACUGAGAUCAUUCUGUACACAGAAUUUCACAUACUAUGCUUUCCUUCAAUCAGUCAAAAAUAUUUUCUAGUGUCAUUAUUAAUUCUUUAACUAUUAUUUUAAUGGCAGCAAAAUUUUUCAUCAUAUGAUGAUACUAUAACUUGUUAAUAAUUUUUCUAAUAUUGGAUAUUUAGGAUGUACUUAAAUUAAUGUUUUAUGUGACUGCUAAAUCUUAGCAUUUCAAAUUAUUUCUUUAGGAUAGUCUAACAGAAGGAGAAACACCAGAUCAAAGAGUAUAAUAAUAAUAAAAAAGAGUAUAAUCAUUUUUAAGUCUUUUUUUUAAAGAUUUUACUUAUUUAUUCUGAGAGACACACAGAGAGAGAAGCAGACACAUAGACAGAGGGAGAAGCAGGCUCCCUGUGGGGAGCCUGAUAUGGGACUCGAUCCCAGAACCCUGGGAUCACAACCUGAGCCAAAGGCAGAUGUUCAACCACUGAACCACCCAAGUGCCCCCAUUUUUCAGAUCUUUAAUACAUAUUACCAGAAAGGUUGCAUUAAUUUAUAUUAGCACAAUAUAUCAGUGUCUUCCUGAAGCUCUCACUGCAUUGAUUAACGUUAUUUUAAAAAUCUUUCCUAUUUUUUUAGGUUCUUAUUAUUUAGCUUUGUAUUCACUGGUGAGGCUGAAAAUUGUUUACUGUAUAAUUAGCUAUUUGUAUUUUCUUUUCUAUGAAUUGUCUGUUCAUGACCUUUGUCUAUUUUCUCACUUGAUUUAUAGUAACACUUUAUAAAUUAGGUCAUUAACUUGGUCGUUUCUUACCAAUUUGCUUCUUGUCUUCUGAUUUUGUUAUGAUUAUUUUUGACAUAUGGAUAUUUUAUAUUUCUCUACAUUUCAGCUUACUGACCUUUUACUCAAUCAUCUCUUCCACUGCUUUAAAGUAUUGAAAAUCUUCACCCCCCUACACUAGAUCAAUAUGCAGAAACAUAUUCGUUCAAUUAUUUAACUUUUCAAAAAUAAUAUUUCUUUAAUCUAUCUAGAAUUUGUUAUAUGGUAUGAGAAAAAAUGAUUCUUUCCCUGGUAAGCUAACAAUGAUCAUGGUAUCACUUCCUGACUACUUUUCCCCAUAGUUUUUAUAUGUAUUCCAUAUAUACAUGUUUCAGGUUAUUCUUACAUAUGCAAGAUUAUAUUUAGGGGUUUUCUACUGAUUUCUUUGCUUAUUCUUUUACCAGCAGAUUCAUCGCCCCUAAUUAUUUUUUAGAUGUUCUUUUUUAGCUCUUAUACUGAAUUCCUUCAACUUAAAAGCUGGCCAAGAUGAUAUACAGAGAAAAUUGUUUAAAGAGAAUGCCUGCCUUUAAAGUUUCAGGUCUUAGGUGAAAAAGAUAGUGUUAGUUCUUCAGAUGUCUAUGAAGAUGGGGCUCAUGCUAUGACACAGAAAAUCAGGAAGGACUUUCUCAUUUUCUUGAUAGUCAUGGGAACAGGAAUAUAAAAAAGAAGGAUUAUACAUCUUUUUGUUCAUCUCAAGCAGAGAAAACUUUCAGGGAGGAGAUUAAGACAUUUAGUGCUGGAAGAUUAUUUCUGUUUGGGCUUCUAAGGCACCAGGAAAGGUACCAACUCAUAAAUCUGUAGAAAAUUGCCGGAAAUGGUCACAAAAUGAUAAACGAGAGAAAGUCUGAAUUACAACCAUCCUAUUAGGUUCAACAAGGGAUGUGCCGAAUAACUUUGUUUUGUUUUUUAAGGCUUGUUAACAGUGAAAUCUUAGGGUAUGGGGUUUUUGGGUGUCUUUUUUCCUUCCUUUAAAAAAAUUGUUUUCAUUUUUCCCCCAAAUUGCAUAUGUUUUUCCCCUCUUAAUAAUGAUUUGUUAAUUAACUUCUGGAAUACAGUGUUGGAAGCUUUAGUACCAAGAAAUGCAAUGGUACAAAAAGUAGAUUUUCUAUUUCUUCAUCUCUUUUCCUUAAUAGACACAGCAACAUUAAAACUCAUCUCAUUAGAAGAGAUUUUGUGAAAA